rnacentral:rRNA from 1 species
ACGAACGCUGGCGGCGUGGAUAAGACAUGCAAGUCGAACGAGAGAAUUGCUAGCUUGCUAAUAAUUCUCUAGUGGCGCACGGGUGAGUAACACGUGAGUAACCUGCCCCCGAGAGCGGGAUAGCCCUGGGAAACUGGGAUUAAUACCGCAUAGUAUCGAAAGAUUAAAGCAGCAAUGCGCUUGGGGAUGGGCUCGCGGCCUAUUAGUUAGUUGGUGAGGUAACGGCUCACCAAGGCGAUGACGGGUAGCCGGUCUGAGAGGAUGUCCGGCCACACUGGAACUGAGACACGGUCCAGACACCUUCGGGUGGCAGCAGUCGAGAAUCAUUCACAAUGGGGGAAACCCUGAUGGUGCGACGCCGCGUGGGGGAAUGAAGGUCUUCGGAUUGUAAACCCCUGUCAUGUGGGAGCAAAUUAAAAAGAUAGUACCACAAGAGGAAGAGACGGCUAACUCUGUGCCAGCAGCCGCGGUAAUACAGAGGUCUCAAGCGUUGUUCGGAAUCACUGGGCGUAAAGCGUGCGUAGGCUGUUUCGUAAGUCGUGUGUGAAAGGCGCGGGCUCAACCCGCGGACGGCACAUGAUACUGCGAGACUAGAGUAAUGGAGGGGGAACCGGAAUUCUCGGUGUAGCAGUGAAAUGCGUAGAUAUCGAGAGGAACACUCGUGGCGAAGGCGGGUUCCUGGACAUUAACUGACGCUGAGGCACGAAGGCCAGGGGAGCGAAAGGGAUUAGAUACCCCUGUAGUCCUGGCAGUAAACGGUGCACGCUUGGUGUGCGGGGAAUCGACCCCCUGCGUGCCGGAGCUAACGCGUUAAGCGUGCCGCCUGGGGAGUACGGUCGCAAGAUUAAAACUCAAAGAAAUUGACGGGGACCCGCACAAGCGGUGGAGUAUGUGGCUUAAUUCGAUGCAACGCGAAGAACCUUACCUGGGCUUGACAUGUAAUGAACAACAUGUGAAAGCAUGCGACUCUUCGGAGGCGUUACACAGGUGCUGCAUGGCCGUCGUCAGCUCGUGUCGUGAGAUGUUUGGUUAAGUCCAGCAACGAGCGCAACCCCUGUUGCCAGUUACCAGCACGUGAAGGUGGGGACUCUGGCGAGACUGCCCAGAUCAACUGGGAGGAAGGUGGGGACGACGUCAGGUCAGUAUGGCCCUUAUGCCCAGGGCUGCACACGUACUACAAUGCCCAGUACAGAGGGGGCCGAAGCCGCGAGGCGGAGGAAAUCCUGAAAACUGGGCCCAGUUCGGACUGUAGGCUGCAACCCGCCUACACGAAGCCGGAAUCGCUAGUAAUGGCGCAUCAGCUACGGCGCCGUGAAUACGUUCCCGGGUCUUGUACACACCGCCCGUCACAUCAUGGAAGCCGGUCGCACCCGAAGUAUCUGAAGCCAACCGCAAGGAGGCAGGGUCCUAAGGUGAGACUGGUAACUGGGAUG